ACCUGUUUUGUUGCUGGUCAUCUAGCCACCCGUGCAUGCCUGCAGCUCUCUUAUCUGCUGCCUGCCUGGAGAAUAAUUUGCAGCGCAGUGACGAUGCAGCAGUGGGCUUCUUGGCUCUCUUGGGCACGCGUGGUUAGAUGACCAUCAGCAAACAAGUU
rnacentral:pre_miRNA from 1 species